GACGAACGCUGGCGGCGUGCUUAACACAUGCAAGUCGAACGCGCCUGUCCUCUGGGUUUCUGGGGGGUGGGUGAGUGGCGAACGGGUGAGUAACACGUGAGUAACCUGCCCCCUUCUUCGGGAUAACGGUCUGAAAGGGCUGCUAAUACCGGGUAUUCACUGGUCUCCGCAUGGGGUCUGGUGGAAAGGUUUUUUUCUGGUGGGGGAUGGGCUCGCGGCCUAUCAGCUUGUUGGUGGGGUGAUGGCCCACCAAGGCUUUGACGGGUGGCCGGCCUGAGAGGGUGACCGGUCACAUUGGGACUGAGAUACGGCCCAGACUCCUACGGGAGGCAGCAGUGGGGAAUAUUGCACAAUGGGCGCAAGCAUGAUGCAGCGACGCCGCGUGAGGGAUGGAGGCCUUCGGGUUGUGAACCUCUUUCGCCCGUGGUCAAGCCGCGACGUGGGUCGUGGUGAGGGUAGUGGGUAAAGAAGCGCCGGCUAACUACGUG
rnacentral:rRNA from 1 species